GACGAACGCUGGCGGCGUGCUUAACACAUGCAAGUCGAACGGAAAGGCCCUGCUUUUGUGGGGUGCUCGAGUGGCGAACGGGUGAGUAACACGUGAGUAACCUGCCCUUGACUUUGGGAUGACUUCAGGAAACUGGGGCUAAUACCGGAUAGGAGCUCCUGCUGCAUGGUGGGGGUUGGAAAGUUUCGGCGGUUGGGGAUGGACUCGCGGCUUAUCAGCUUGUUGGUGGGGUAGUGGCUUACCAAGGCUUUGACGGGUAGCCGGCCUGAGAGGGUGACCGGCCACAUUGGGACUGAGAUACGGCCCAGACUCCUACGGGAGGCAGCAGUGGGGAAUAUUGCACAAUGGGCGGAAGCCUGAUGCAGCAACGCCGCGUGCGGGAUGACGGCCUUCGGGUUGUAAACCGCUUUCGCCUGUGACGAAGCGUGAGUGACGGUAAUGGGUAAAGAAGCACCGGCUAACUACGUGCCAGCAGCCGCGGUGAUACGUAGGGUGCGAGCGUUGUCCGGAUUUAUUGGGCGUAAAGGGCUCGUAGGUGGUUGAUCGCGUCGGAAGUGUAAUCUUGGGGCUUAACCCUGAGCGUGCUUUCGAUACGGGUUGACUUGAGGAAGGUAGGGGAGAAUGGAAUUCCUGGUGGAGCGGUGGAAUGCGCAGAUAUCAGGAGGAACACCAGUGGCGAAGGCGGUUCUCUGGGCCUUUCCUGACGCUGAGGAGCGAAAGCGUGGGGAGCGAACAGGCUUAGAUACCCUGGUAGUCCACGCUGUAAACGGUGGGUACUAGGUGUGGGGUCCAUUCCACGGGUUCCGUGCCGUAGCUAACGCUUUAAGUACCCCGCCUGGGGAGUACGGCCGCAAGGCUAAAACUCAAAGGAAUUGACGGGGCCCCGCACAAGCGGCGGAGCAUGCGGAUUAAUUCGAUGCAACGCGUAGAACCUUACCUGGGUUUGACAUGGAUCGGGAGUGCUCAGAGAUGGGUGUGCCUCUUUUGGGGUCGGUCCACAGGUGGUGCAUGCCUGUCGUCAGCUCGUGUCGUGAGAUGUUGGGUUAAGUCCCGCAACGAGCGCAACCCUUGUUCACUGUUGCCAGCACGUUAUGGUGGGGACUCAGUGGAGACCGCCGGGGUCAGCUCGGAGGAAGGUGGGGAUGACGUCAAGUCCUCAUGCCCCUUAUGUCCAGGGCUUCACGCAUGCUACAAUGGCUGGUACAGAGAGUGGCGAGCCUGUGAGGGUGAGCGAAUCUCGGAAAGCCGGUCUCAGUUCGGAUUGGGGUCUGCAACUCGACCUCAUGAAGUCGGAGUCGCUAGUAAUCGCAGAUCAGCAACGCUGCGGUGAAUACGUUCCCGGG
rnacentral:rRNA from 1 species